AUGAGAAAAAAGUUUAGCACGUUCGUCAGAGGUUAAAAACCAUAGUAACACAGGAACAGUUUCUCUCUUACGUCGCGAUCCACGUGUAUCAACACACACACACACACAUAUAUACACAUACAGAGAUACACACAUACAUACAUACAUUGACAUAGGUUAAUGCCAUCCGUACAUUACACAGACGGCGUUUUGGAUACUUUGCAAAUGACGCGGAGUGUCAUCUUCAUGCGGGGAGAAAAGGACGUGGAGUAUAAAAGCGUUCGCACGCGUACUUGCACGUUUCAAAUGUAAGGGUGGAGAAAAAGAAUGGAACGUGAAGAUAGACAGAGAUAGAUAGAUAGAACAAGAAAAAGAAUAAAGAAAGAGAUAGAGAGAGAGAGAGAGACAGAGAGAGGGAGAUAAAGAAAGAGAUAGAGAACGCAUCGGAGAGGAGACAUUCUCCAAAAGUUCGCAUAGAAUUGCGUAUGUGUUUGCACGACUCUUUGCUAAGUACGAUCUCCCCUUCGUUUCUCCUCUUUUUCCAUGUAUAAGUAUCACAUUCGCUCUUAACACGUAUACACAUAUACAUAAACACACGUACGUGUAUAUAUAUAUAUAUAUAUAUAUAUAUAUAUAUAUGGAUGUAUAUAUGUGAACUAACGCGUAGACGGACGAACGCGACAAAAGCGACGCGUCAGACCCUCCGUCGAGGGAUCGCUAAUGCAGCGGUUGCACGAUUUUAUCUCUCGCAUUCUUUAGCUAAAGGGCUGCUCCAGGCUGCGUUGGGAUCGAUCUGGGAAUAAAAGGUGAAUGAAGACGGCGACGAAGACGACAACGACAAUGACAACGGCAUCGUUUGCUUUAAGCUGGCACAAAAUAUCGGCUGGAAUCUUAUCGACUAUUAGAUCUCAUCUGAUUAGUAUUAGGAAUAAUGGUUUAAAGGGAUGGGUAAUAGGGUUCUCUGUAAAUGGACGAACGCAUUUUGUUGAAUCUUAAAUAACUACGGAGCUAAACAACGGUCGUUCUAAGCGUUAUGUUCUAACGUGCAAAGAGAGAAGAACAUCGUCCAAGGGCCGUCUGAAAAAUUGUUAAAAAUUUAAGUGCUUUAACGCAUUAAGAAGGAGGCAAGGAAGGGAAUGAAAUGAGAAAGAAAAAGAGAGAGAGAGAGAUAGAGAGAGAGAGAGAGAGAGAGAGAGUGAGUAUGUUCUUCUUAAUUAGUUUCGAGAAAAACUUUCGGCUCGUUCCCCUUUUUCGACCGUUGUCAACGAUUUUAGACUGAAAAAUGUAGAUGUAGAGAUAUUUUUUGGAUAUGUGAAUGUUUUCAUAUAUGUAUACCUACAUCUUUAUACGAUAUAUGUAUAACGUGAAUGUAUAAUGUGUGAAUGACCGUAAAAAGGAUGUUUUUUUCAUUUCUAAUUUCUUUUUCCUUUUUUAUUUUUUUUAUUUUUUUUCCUUUUUUUGAUUACGUUAGAUCUCACCAUCCUCAAAUUAGGUUUCGCCGGACGUUGAUGAGUCAGACAUAUUAAACGUUAAUAAAAUUGGUCAUGUUAAAAGAAUGUCGGAUCGCAUGGUAACUGACCAUUACACAUAACUAUACGCUUUCUUAUCGUAUACGUAUAAACAUUUUUGAAUUUGUACGUACGAAUUAAUAAUUAAAAGAAGACAAAAAAAAAGGAAGUAGGAAGUAAAAAACGCAGAAGUACGAAGCAUUGAAUUUUAUACGAUAAAAAGGAAUGCUGUAUAUAUAUGUGUGUGUGUGUGUGUGUGUGUGUGUGUGUGUGUGUCGAAUUAUUAUAGAAAGGAAUUAUUACAAUUUAAAAUAUAAAAAAGUAUUUUCAUGAAAAUAUAUGUCUGUUAUUAUAUAAAGUAUAGAAAUUUCCAUUUGCACGGAGAAUAAUAUUCCUAGCCUUCGGUAGGAAUAUUAAUUGCACGUAUUCAAUCAAUGAUAUAGAAAUGCGCGUGCUUUCUCUCUCUCUCUCUCUCUCUCUCUCUCACUCUAUAUAUAUAUAUAUAUAUAUGUAAUAUCAGUUUUAUGCAAAAUUGGUGGAAUUGUUAAUUGAAAUCGAUUGCUUUGAGAAGGAAAGAAAAAAAAAAAUGAAAAAAGAAGAAAGAAAAAUGAAACUAAAUAAAAGUGAAUUCCUUAAAAGCACGCUUAAAAUUAUUGAAAAUUCUAAGAAUUCCGUUGAAGGCCAUUUGAAGGUUGCAUUGUAAAUGGAUAUGAACAUCGUACUUGUAAAGAACAAAAUAAACUUUUGGAAUUGGUUAGAAAGAUAGAAAGAAAUGGAUAAAUAGAUAGAGAUAGAGAUAGAGAAAAAGAGAGAGAGAGAGAGAGAGAGAGAGAGAAAGAGAGAGAAAGAAAGAAAGAAAGAAAGAAAGGAAGGAAGGAAGAAAGAAAGAAAAAGAAUAGUUGCAUAGUAGACACGCUUCUGCGAAGUGCAUAUUAUCUCUGGACGCGAAAGGGGAGGACUUUGGGUGGUGCCCAUGUAGUAGGGGCUUUGGUAAGAGGUUCUGAAUAAUGCAUGAAGUGCGUUUCAUUUUUCUAUACCAUAGGACGAUACAAAGUUCUCUCGUCUCGGAGGACCCAAAACAAGCUACAAUCUCCGGCAGUCGAUGCUUUGUAAUCCCGUCGACCACGCAGUUUUCUUUCUCUCUCUCUUUUUCCCUCUCUCUCUCUCUCUCUCUUUCUCUCUCUCUUUCUCUCUUCCUUUACUCUUACCUUGUUCCCUUUUCCAUGAUUUAUGUUGUUGAAUUCGGAACGAAAUAGGAAUGUGCGUUCGUAAGAGUAAAAGAGUGCCCGAGUAAAGAUACCAUAGAUGUAUCUAUCGAUAGGUUUUAACUCCUGAAGGAACUUAUAGACGCGUGGGUGUGUUAUCUUGUAAAAUCGAAACGAA